CCCAGACACACACCACACACACAGACAGACACACGCCACACACACACACCUCACACAGACACACCCACACACAGACACACCAUACACCACACACACACCACACACAUAAACAUCACACACAGACACACACAUACCACACACACCACACAGACACACACCACACAUACACACACACCACACAGACACACGACACAGACACACACCACUCACACACCACACACACACACCACACACACAGACAUAUACACCAGACACACACCACACAGAUACACACACCACACACACACACAACACACACACACCACACAGACAACCACACACACAGACUCAUACACCAUACGCACCACACAUACACCACACACACACCACACACAAAUACCAGACACACACACCACACACACACCACAGACACAUACACCAUACGCACACCACACACACACACCACACACACCACACACACACACCACACACACACACACCAUACACACACACCACACACACCACACACAGACAUAUACACCAUACACACACCAGACACAGACCACGCACAUACCACACACACAGACACCACACACAUGCACCACACGCACCACACCACACACACACACAUACACACACACGAGCAGAGCAAGGGACAGCCAUGUUGUGUGAUCUGGGAGGGUGGCUCAUCCUCUCUGAGUUGUUUAUAAACCGGGCGGGACCCAGGCCUGCCAAUCAAAGGCCUGAUCUGAAUGCUCUUAUUGGUUCAGAGAUGGACAUGUGACCCUCUCUUGGCCAAUCAGAGGCUUUCCUGCUGGAAGGGCUGCUGGAAGCCAUCUUCGCACGGUUCUUCCCUUGGCUUUAGAGCCCCGAAGCGCUCUUUGACUUGAGCUGCUUUGCAUUCUCUCUGUCCUGCCAUCGAGAAAGUUCUGAGCGGCUCAGAAGUAAUACUGACACUAUCAACGGAGGGGGACUGCAGUUUCGCUGGUGGCCCCACAGCCCCCUGCCUCCAGCCAGGGGACAAAGAACAGGAGGGAUCCAGAGAAAAUGAGAGAAUGGAGCUGGGCGCAGUGGUUCACGCCUGUAAUCCCUGCACUUUGGGAGGCCGAGGCAGGCAAAUCACCUGAGGUCAGGAGUUCCAGACCGGCUGGGCAACAUGGUGAAACCCUGUCUCUACUAAAAAUAUGAAAAAAAGUUAGCCAGGCGUCCGCGUGCCUGUAAUUCCAGCUACUCAGGAGACUGAGGCAGGAGAAUCGCUUGAACCUGGGAGGCAGAGGUUGCAGUGAGCCGAGAUCACGCCACUGCACUCCAGCCUGGGCGAUAAGAGUGAAACUCUGUCUCAAAAUAAAUAAAUAAAUAAAUAAAUAAAUAAUCUUAAAAAAAAUAAAAAGAAAACUAGAGAAUGAUGACUUCUGUUUACCAUGUGCCUGGUUUCCUGUCCUGUCUGUGAUCCUGUUGCUGUUUGCUGUCAACUGUUCCUGCUUCAGUGAUAUUAGAAGGGUUCAAGGAGAAUGUGGGUCCCCUCCUUGCCUGCUCUGGGCCUUCCCCUGUUUCUGGCCUGUUUCAUCUCCACCCCCGUUGGAUCUGAGCUCCUUGAGGGUGGCCCCUACACCCUGCAGUGCUGAGCAUUGGGAGGUGUGAGGGUUGCUGAAGGCUGGGGGUUGGUGCUUUUCUUCAUUCAGCAGUCAUCAUUUAUUGAGCACCCACUGUUUGCCAGCUCCUUGGCUAAGCAUUUCAAGCCCUGUUCCAUGGGCUCAGUCUUCCAGGGGCUGGCCGCUAACUACGCAUCGAUUGAUUUCCAGAAGGACAGAAGCACAUAGCAGGGCCUGGUCUCCACUGGGGGUGCCAGGAGCUG
rnacentral:lncRNA from 1 species